GCCCUCCCAGAGAGAGGAACUCCAGCCCUGGUUCUGUAGGGGGGUGCUGAAGCCGCUGAGCCCAGAGGAGAGCACAGGGCAUGCUUCAAUGGCCAGCAGCUCAGAGGUGGGUCAAGGAGAAAGUUUCCCUUGGAGCAACCCAAGCCAAAGGAGUAUGACCAAGGUGAGCUGUCACAGCUGCUACUCCGUGCUGCCUGUCCCAUCCCCUUGUACAGCCAAGCUGUCCCUGUAUCAUCACAGCUUCACAUUUAAAGCGAGCUGAGUUUGGUGCUGUUUUACCCUAAAAGCUCAGAUUUGGUGAUGCUGGAUCUGUGGAUGUUCAAGCACUGCCAGAUGAGCAGCCAAGACAGAUGUGCAAAGGGGCCACAGCACAGACAAAUCCUCUGCAGCCAUCACAGUUCUCCUGGGGAAGGAUCCUCCAAAUCCCAACACAAACCAGAAAACAGGAAGGAAGAAAACUCAUCAGAAUGCUAAUCUGGAACCAGUAACAGCUGGAGUCUGGAUCUCGUUUGGAUCACCUACAUAUUACCUACAAGUUGCAAGGAUACAAGGAAAC